rnacentral:lncRNA from 1 species
CAAAGCUUGUCAGGCAACCUCUCCACCGUUAGGCUUAACUGAAGUAACUGCAAGUGGUAAAGAGUACAUAAUGAUCUAGGCAAUUCAGAAAUUAACGUUCUGAUAAGGUUCAAAUACCGAAGGUGCUUCAGCCUACCAAUAGAUUCAGGCAACUUACUACUGUUGUAAAAUGACAAAUACAAUACACGUAACUUCUUCUGGUUCCGCAGCAUCUGAUCAAAAAUAUCGCUUGCAUCAUCCAUUAGUGGAUCAAUGCAGAUGAUAGUGCGUAAAUUCUGUAGCUUGUAGAUAAUUUGCUUAUGCUUUUGCAAACUCUCAACCUGAAGAGAGAGAUGUCGAACAGUGCAUGGUACUUCUCUGAUAUUAUCCUCUUCUAAUCUGAAGCAGUCUUCUACAGAGAGUGACUGUGCCAAAUCAUGAAGGAUGUCGUGCAUGAUAUAGUAUGAAUAAUACUCUGUUUCAGAAACCAAUUGAAAGAAAGACCCAGAGAGCAUCUCAUUGAAAUAAUCCCUCCCGACAUCUUCUAUUGUCAUGCUACUCAAAUUACAUGAACCAACAAGCCCUUCUGCCACCCAAAGGUGAACCAACUCAUCAGGUUUAUAUUUAUGACCUUUUGGGAAUAAGCUGCAAUACAAGAAGCACCUCUGCAGACGUGGAUCUAACUUCUUGUAACUCCACAAGAGAACUGUGAAGGGCUCACUUAAAUCUCUGAGCUUUAGAGCACCUUUCCAUUCAGCAGUAUCUUUUUUUGUGCUCAACCGGGAACCAAGAACUUUUGCUGCCAAAGGACAUUGUCCAAGCCUUUUAGCAAUCUCCACUGCAGUAUGUUCCAGCUUAUUGUGCAAAAGUUGAUCUCCAAUUUUUGCUCCAGAGAAAGCAUGGUGUUUGAAGAGUGCCAAGAAAUUGGCAUCAUCCAUUUUUUCCAAAUGAACAACUUGUUGUUGAUCACAGAAAACAGCGGCCGGAAGUGUUUCACGCCGAGAAGUCACCAAAACUUUGCUUCCCAUCUGUUUAGAGACAAAUGGAUCCAGGAGCUGAAACCACUCUGUCUCGCUGUCUGAUUUUUCGAACCAAACAUCAUCCAAGACAAGUAGGAAUUUCUGUGACUUCUGCAGUAUGUCACGUAAUUUGCACUGGAGAGUAUCAAGAUUAUCAAUACAUGGGCACUCCCCAUUUGUUGCAGACUCAAUAAUCUCCCUUGUGUGACGACGGACAUCAAGCUUGCGUGAGAUGCAGACCCACAUCCUGAUAUCAAAGCCUUCUUCUAUCCUCUUGUCAUUGUAGACAUACUGCACUAAGGUGGACUUCCCCAUUCCGCCCGCACCAAUAAUGGCCAAACUGGAGUACCUAGUCGAACUUGCCUCGUCAGCUGCUGUCUUGCCAAGAAGAAAAUCUAAUAUACGAUCGCGAUCCUUGUCACGACCGAAAACCUUUGAUGUGGAAAGUGAUGUCACUGUGGUUGGAGGAACAAUGGUUGCUGGUACAGCUGGCCACCCUAAACCUGUAGUAUUUCCAGGUGCUAUGCUAAGAAGAUCCCGAAGCUCCUUGGCUUCUGUUAGGAUAGCUUUGAUCUCAUUCAUCUUGCUAAUUAGCCUUCUAUUCUCAGGGAGCAAGUUGCGUGCCUUGCUCUUAGCAGUAUGAAAAGGCUUCAUGAUUGUUGAUGCAAUGGAGGAGGUUUCAUCCUCUCCUAGCAGGGGAUCUUUUCCGCUCUUGGCCUUGCGCUUGAGGAGAUUGUACUCAUGCUCGUCCAGCAGGUCCUCAGCAUCAUAAAAGGCUUCUUUGAGCCGCCGAAGCCAUGCCUCGAGCUUGCCCUUAUGGGGGCUCUUCUCUGCUGCUUGAAUCACCAGAUCAAAUUGUGGCAGGACGGUGGCUUCUAGUUUUUGGAGCUCACGCACCAUGUCCACACUGAGGUAAGCUGAAGCUUCGUUAAGAAGCUUGUUGAAAAUGGGCGAUGCUGCCCACCUUAACCCAGCGAGUGCCAAGUCUGCCAUGGAAUUGGAGUGGUUUGUGCUUCUCCUUUGUGGGUGUGGACUGGAGAGAUCUUGGAUGAAUAUUUCCAGGUGAAAAGAAGAGGACAAUUGAUUGGCAAUGGCACGAAAUGAUUGUGUUUUUCUUGGAAAUGUAAAUGAUGGGAAACAAGCAAAGAGUACAAUUAAUAUCUUUUUUCCUUCCUUUUUUGGGGUUUUCUAUUUUUUCUUUCUUUUUUUUUGUCGUAGGAGUGAAAUGAAUAAGUUGAAGAUGCAGGGUGCAAGGGUCUGGUGGCGAAGAGAAAGAUUAAACAGGAAAAGAAAGAUGAAUGGAUGGACAAUGGAAGCUGUUUUCUUUUUUAUGUAUGGACGAGGUGCUUCUGCAGAAGGCAAGUUACUGAUAAGGACAACAACGGAAUGAAGAAAACCUGGAAUUAAGAAGACGCAUAGAAUUAGUGAUUCUGAUUGGGAAAAUGGAAGACAAAUUGAUUAUUUUUCUUUCUCAUGUGCUACAGCACACAGAAUGAAAUAGCUACUAACAAGUUAGCACAACAAACUAAGGAGAUUGGUGAUCUUACAUGGUUUUGCGGGAUGAAGUUACACCAAGUAAAAAAAAUCAAGGGCGCUGGGAGCAGAGUUGCUGGAGCCAGUGUUGACAAGGAGCACGAGGUGGCCGGAGUGGUGGACGGGACUCUGGAACAAGCACUGCACUUCAAGAGAACAAACAGGCAGUCAGCCAAGAAUAAGGUAUAUACGCUGGCAGCGAAGGAGGGAAAGGAAGAAGCAAGGAACAAUACCGGAAAAGCUUGGCAGUGCUGAUUCCUGGUGAUGAUCUUUUUAUUAAGAGAUUGCUGGUGAUGAUCUGUUCUGCAGUUUCACGGUGAGGACACCGAUGGUGCUGCUGGCCUUCUGCUGCUUGCUGGGAAAAGGAAGAAGAAAGGAAAUUGGAAGGUGGAGAAAGAGGAGUAGACAAGGUCUAUCGAUUGGGACUUCUCUGAAAUAGGAGUUUGUUGGGACCUGCAUUUGGUGUGAAGUACUAGUCAGCAUAAACACAGACAAAGGAAGCUUCUGGGUAGCUUCACUAGGUUUCUAUCCUUGAGAAAGGAACGGUUCAACCAUAUCCCCCCUUGCAAUAAAUGAAUGAAGGCGAACACAGAGUAGACAAGGUCUAUGAAUUCAUCAAAAACGUUAUCAGCAGUUUUGCAACUCAAACACUGCCUAAACAACUCGUAGGAAAACACAGCCCAAAUGAAAAGCAAGGCGCACAUACGGCCACCUCACCUGUAUCCAGGAAACGGUGGAAUGUGGUCACCUCUCACAUGGAAAAUCACAUAAGAUGAUUUUUUUUAUUCCAUAACCCAUAUAAGAACUGAUCAAAACACAAAAGGAUAGACAAAUUUUGACUGACCACUGACCAGUCUCUUGCACUAGUACUGCUGCUUCUUUGUGAAAGGAAUCAGCCUUGACGCCUAUGCUACUGCUCGUCGGUGCUGCUGUACUAGGGCUGUGGUGCCUGUGUCGCCUCUCCUCCCCUUCCUGAAUCCUCUGCCGUGGUCGGUUCCUGCCUUGAGCACGGCCGGCACGCCCCGCAGCUUCCGCAGUAAAAGUAAUCUCCGAGGUGGCGAGACCUAACUCCGGCAACACCGGCGACAUGGAGGGUUCAGCGUUCGGCCGUCUUGUGCGGUGCCGGCGCUGGAACACGACACAGGAGAAUGGCCGAACGGCGGACGGGGAAAUGCUGAACAGAACAGGAACGGAUAUUGCGGUAUUGGACUGGGUAAGUAACUCAUCUAUUUGGGCCGCCCCACAUCGUCUUCAUCGCUCGUUUGAAGUUAGAGCAGCAGGAACAACGGCUGCACAGUCCCCUUCUUCUGCUUGAAUAAGGCUAUUCCAACAGGAGACCCAAAUGUAAAAUCUCUACUAUAAUGGAUCAAUUAGAAUUAUAUUAGAUCCCCAAGUAAAACCUUUUCCACUGAGAGCCUUCAACCAUUGUGCACCUAGUAAAAUUAAAAUGUACACAGUAAAUUGUCUCUGUUAAAAUCAAGGGCUACAAAAUAAUUGCUCAUAGACCUCAACUCAAUCUGAUGGCCAUGAUCACUUCCAGGCUUCAACGCGACUCCCAGGCUUCAACACGCUCGCGUCCCUCGACGCACGGCCUCCACCUCCCCAAGCGUGACAGGCAGGAUUCGAUCCCUGCUACCGUUCCCGGCGGCGAGGUGGCACGGGAUCGACGGAGGAACUAGGGGCUGCGGCUGAGGGCUUGGCUCCUGCAGAGCUUCGGUGGCUGUGAAGGUCGACGACAGACCCCGGCUAGGGGCGGUAGCGGCAGCGGAGGCGCGGUCACAGCGACCCGGCCGGCGGCGGAGGAAGGCGAGACGGACACAUUGGUGGGAUUGGUUGGGUGCAGUUGCGAGGUCUCGGAGGAGCUGCUGCUCACGCUGGUGGAAAGCUAGGUAGUCUUGAGAUAGCACACUACGCGCACGGGGUGUUCGUGCAAAUGCUUGGCACGGCCUUGUCAAAUCCUUUGCUCCCCUCCGACGUUGCUGCCAUGGACUCCACGUUGGCACCUGAAAUGGCCCCGAUGCCUCCUAUUCCGCCGCCGCCGUUGUCCCGACCGCCGAGGAUCUCGUGGGGGCGUGGCAGUGAUGACCUUGGAUGAGCAGUUCCAAUCUGUUGCGGGGAUUAGGGAGAGAAGUGCAUCCAGGAGGACGAGUUCAGGCGCCUGCUUGAUAACAAGCCUGUCCCCAUCUACUACAAUGGCUUCGAGCCUUUAGAGGCAUGCACAUCGCACAGGUUUGACCUUCUGUCUUCAGCCCCUGCCUCCAGGGCAUCAUUACUACAAAAAAUGAUAAGUUUGCAUGACUGAGCUAAAGAUAGAUUUGGCUGCAUCGCCGUUCUAAUUUUUUAAUAGCAUGUAGAAAGAGACCAUCGUUUAUAAUGGCACACAAGGAAAAAGCUCAAAUAAAUUGUGUGGAGGUUCAAUGAAGCUACAAAAAAUAUAAAAGAACAUAGAGACCACAUGACAGAUCAUUUACAAAGGGAUAUCAAAUACCAGCAACAAGAACAAGAGAACGGAAGCACAUUUUUGAAUUUAGAAACACGUGAUAGCAACUGUUUAUUUUUUCUUUUUAAUUAAAAAAGAUAAAGGAAAGAAAUAUUCCAGACUCCAGUUCGCCUCACGAAAAAUAAAAACCAUAGCCACAUUUUGUAUCAUCAUAAGUUAUUUAUUAGAGACUCAUUCUAUCAUAGGAAUACAUGUAAGCAAUUAUUUAUGGGCGUUGCUAAGGUAUAACUCUUACCUAGUAAGAGGUAAGAGUUCAAAUAAAUCCGAGACGUUGAAUAUUAGAAGAAAUAAAGUAAGUAGUAAAAAGAAAAAUAAAUAACAUAUUGUUUCCGUUUAUUUACAUGUCUACAUGCAAUUUGUUUCCUUUUGAUUGCAACCAACGACUACAACUUCAUGGAAGACCAUCGGGCAAGAUGGUUUUUAGUCAAAAUUCAACUUUCCAAGACAUGCUAUUUUACGUUUCUUAUUAAUUGGGCAUGGUCACGUUACAACUUAAAAAAAUAUUACAUUACAAUCAUGUACACUAUGGAUUGAAUAAGCUUUACCUUUUUAUAAUGUCGAAAACAAAAUGAAUUUAAAUUUCUCAUCGUCACGUUCCAACAAAUUAAUUAAAUAAAUUUUACAAAAUCAUUUUGGGUUAGCUAUUAUAAAUCAUUGUGUUAUUAUAUACACAAUAAAAUAAAAUGGUUGCGCAUGUGUGAACUAUGUCCCCCCAUCGUGUGUCCAUGUCCAUGUUAUUAAAAACCUAAGAUCAUGUUAGGAAAGUAAGAUCAUGCAUGCAUAUUAUAUACAUAAUACGAAGGUAUUUUCCUUCUGAGGUAAUAUUUGACAAUUGCUAUUCAGAUCGACGGUUCAUAGUUUUUUAGAUGUACCAUAGCAAGGCCCAUUAUUCAUAAUCAAGGAAUAACAGUACAAGUGAAAUGAUAUAAAUGGAACCACCUGCGUUCCUCGCAAGUACCAACCGUGGACUGUGGAGGGUCGCCAAACAGAGAACCAAGGGGACGGCAUCACCAACAGAUCGGCUUCUGAUCGACUUCAGCUGGGUGGUGAGUCUGCAGAGACGAGGGCGCAGCGGCGUUGGGGUCACCACGAGGUGUCUGUUUAGAGCAUGGAAUGAAAUGUUUUAAAUAAAAUAUUGGAGACCUUAUUCAUUGUGCUGGAGAAUGAAUCAGUGGAACAUGCUAUACCUUCUCUCAUUUCUUUCAAGUGGCAAUAUUAAUCGAAGUGCUUCCAGCGGAUGUGUGAAAUCUGUGGCCAGCUUUCUCCAUCAGGCUCUCGGCAGUUCUUCCUCAAGUCGUCACAACCAUAUAGACUUAUGCGCUGGAGGGAGGAUGGAAGAACUGGUAAAGAUGUUAUGUUGGGGCAAUGGCGGAUAUCAAGACUCUCCAGACUUGAGAGAAAUUUUAGAUUUCCUGGCAGGAACUCCAUUUUGCAUUGCCAAAAGUACAGGUGCUUGACAGAUAAGAGAUUUGCACAUUCUCCAAAGGAAGCUGACGCCUCGUUGCAAUAACGAAGAAUAAGGUUCGGUGGGACUAUAAACCCUUCAGCCUUGAGCAUCAAGUUGAGCAGUACGAAACUACUAACGACGAGCAAUUGCUGGACACGAAACUGUGAGAUGCACUUGGUAGUAAGGUUUGGAACAUCUAUCAAACUUAGGUAUUGAAGUUGCCAGGAAGACAAGCCUUCAAGAGAGCACAGAUCGGGGAGAUGAAUUAGAUCUAAUGAUUCAAGGGAGGUCAGGUGGCCAAUCGAUAAGGACGGGGAGGUUCUGCAACACAUAAUGAUAAGAGAUUUCAGGUGUGCCAAGCCAUUAAUGAAUGAAUCAGCUGCAAGAAUGCAGCCACAUAUGUGGAGCUCUCCAGCAAGGUUGAAUGACAUAAAUUCUGCUCCACGUGCCAGAUCUAAAGAAGGGCAAUCAAUACAAUAAAAUCUGGAAAGAUAUGGAGCAGCACUUAAGCCCCCCAGUGAUCUGAGACACCAACAACCUCUUAUAGUCAACCAGUCAAGCUUGAUCAAAUGCUCAAACACCUCUUCUGAUGGAAGUGCAGAUAAUGCCAUAUUAUAUUCCAGUCUUAACCUUGUAAAUGAAGUGAGGCCACCAAGGCAAAUAGCUAAAGCUUCAUCUGCAUGAAGAAAGAACAAGACCAACAAGUCCAAAUGGUACAACCAGUGGCAGCUCCAUGGUCCUUCCAUAAAGGACUCUUAUCCUCUGCUCAUGGCAAAAAAGCCAUGCCUUGAUCAUAUUUUCUUUGUCUGAUAUUAUAUCUCCUCCUUCCUCUAGGCCACUUUCAAUAAUUUGAAGAUGUUGUGAUAUAUCAUCACCCAUCUGCGUUGUCAACUGCUUCAGGGAUGAAUAGUCCUCUACAAGUACUUCCGUAAUAUUAAAUCCUGAAUUGACCUCCCACAUUGAUGCAAGUUUAGAUGCCAGGUCCUCUGUCUUCAUUAUAUUUCCCCUCGAACCAUGCUGGUCGAGCUCAUUUUUGGAGACAAACAUAAGCAGUGGGCACGUCUGAAUUGACAAUUUUGUAAGCAUUGCUGGAAGACAAGGUAAUAUUUUCAAUUUUGGAACAUUUUCUAGCGGAUGUGUGAAAUCUGCAACGGAUUGGCAAUUUUCAAUUUUGACAAUUUUGGAAUAUUUUCCACCUGCCUCGCAAGUCCCAACUGUGGACUGUGCACAGUCACCAAACAGAGAACCGAGGGGACAGCAUCUGCAACGGAUUGGCUUCUGACUUGAACUGGGUGGCGAGUCAGUGUCGUGUUGUGCUUGUGCCAGGGUGACCUUGAGGUCGAGGUGCCUGUUUACAACAUGAAAUGUUUUUAAAAUAUAAAAUAUUGGAAACCUUAUUCAUUGUGCUGGAUAAUGAAUCAGCAGAACCUAUACCUCCUCAUUUCGUUGAAGAUCAUUCAUAGAAGUGCUUCCAGCGGAUGUGUGAAAUCUGUGGCCAGCUUUCUCCAUCAGGCUCUCGGCAGUUCUUCUUCAAGUCGUCACAACCAUAUAUAGUUAUGCGCUGGAGGGAGGAUGGCAGAACUGGUAAAGAUGUUAUGUUGGGGCAAAUGCCGAUAUCAAGACUCUCCAGACUGGAGAGAAAUUUUAGAUUUCCUGGCAGGGACUCCAUUUUGCAAUCCCAAAUGUCCAGGUGCUUGACAGAUAAGAGAUUUGCACAUUCUCCAAAUGAAGCUGACGGCUCCUUGCAAACAUGAAGACCAAGAUUUGGUGGGACUAUAAACCCUUCAGCCUUGAGCAUCUGGUUGAGCAGUACGAAACUACUAACGCUGAGCCAUUUCUGGACACGAAACUGUGAGAUGCACUUGGCAGUGAGGUUUGGAACAUCUAUCAAACUUAGGCUAUCAAGUUGCCAGGAAGACAAGCCUUCAAGAGAGCACAGAUCGGGGAGACGAAGUAGAGAUAAUGAUUCAAGGGAGGUCAGGUGGCCAAUCGAUAAGGACGGGAAGCUUCUGCAACAUGCAAUGGAAAGAGAUUUCAGGUGUGGCAAGCCAUUAAUGAACGAAUCGGCUGCCAGAAUGCAGCCACAUAUGUAGAGGUCUCCAGCAAGGUUGAAUGACAUAGAUUCUGCUGCACCUGCCAGAUCUAAAGAAGGGCAAUCAAUACAAUAAAGUCUGGAAAGAGAUGGAGCAGCAUGUGAGCCCCCCAGUGAUCUGAGACACCAACAACCUCUUACAGCCAACAAGUCAAGCUUUGUCAAAUGCUCAAACACCUCUUCUGAAGGAAGUGCAGUUAAUGCCAUAUUAUAUUCCAGCAUUAACGUUGUCAAUGAAGUGAGGCCACCAAGGCAAAUAGCUAAAGCUUCAUCUGUAAUACUGCAUGAAGAAAGAUAAAGUUCACGUAUUCCUGAUGGUAGAACCAGUGGCAGCUCCAUGGUCCUUCCAUAAAUGACUGUUAUCCUCUGCUCAUGGCAAAAAAGCCAUGCCUUGAUCAUAUUUUCUUUCUCCAAUAUUAUAUCUCCUCCUUCCUCUAGGCCACUUUCAAUAAUUUGAAGAUGUUGUGAUAUAUCAUCACCCAUCUGCGUUGUCAACUGCUUCAGGGAUGAAUAGUCCUCUGCAAGUACUUCCCUAAUAUUUGAUCCUGAAUUGACCUCCCACAUUGAUGCAAGUUUAGAUGCCAGGUCCUCUGUCUUCAUUAUAUUUUCCCUCAAAUCAUGCUGGUCGAGCUCAUUUUUGGAGACAAACAUAAGCAGUGGGCACGUCUCAAUUGACAAUUUUGUAAGCAUUGCUGGAAGACAAGAUAAAAUCUUCAAUUUUGGAACAUUUUUUAGACACAGCCUAGUGCAAUGCCGUAGGAGCUCAGUAUUAGGUGGUAGGCCUUCUAACAAAGUGCAGCAAUUAAGCUUUAAACAUUCCAAAUUUUCAAAAUAGGAUGGCUCAAGUAACCACCUUGGAUAUGUGCCAGAUUUGUAGCCUUUGAUUGUGAGGCCACUAAGUUGGGGUGACGGUCUCAGACCUUCUAGAACAUCCAGAUGUAAAGUAUCCACUGCAUCCAUUCCCUUCUCGCUACUCCAGGCAAGCCGCAACUUUUUAAGGCGAUUCUUCUUAUAGAGCAUGGACUCUAAGGCUUCUUCUUUUUCUGAAACAUUCUCAAGAUUUUCUACUUUUAAACUGCCACCAAGCUCAUUCAAGUCCUUCAGCUGCCACAACUCGUAUCCUUGCUUCUUUUGCACAGAAAAGGUAUGCAUGUGUUGUAGCGAAAUUAGCUUGCCUAUAUUGGGAAUUUGAUGAAUAGAUUUUUCCAUCAAGGCAUGUGGGUACUCCUUGUACGCCCCCAUAUGUCGCAACUUACUUAAGUUGCAAAGCUUGUCAGGCAACCUCUCCACCGUUAGGCUUAACUGAAGUAACUGCAAGUGGUAAAGAGUACAUAAUGAUCUAGGCAAUUCAGAAAUUAACGUUCUGAUAAGGUUCAAAUACCGAAGGUGCUUCAGCCUACCAAUAGAUUCAGGCAACUUACUACUGUUGUAAAAUGACAAAUACAAUACACGUAACUUCUUCUGGUUCCGCAGCAUCUGAUCAAAAAUAUCGCUUGCAUCAUCCAUUAGUGGAUCAAUGCAGAUGAUAGUGCGUAAAUUCUGUAGCUUGUAGAUAAUUUGCUUAUGCUUUUGCAAACUCUCAACCUGAAGAGAGAGAUGUCGAACAGUGCAUGGUACUUCUCUGAUAUUAUCCUCUUCUAAUCUGAAGCAGUCUUCUACAGAGAGUGACUGUGCCAAAUCAUGAAGGAUGUCGUGCAUGAUAUAGUAUGAAUAAUACUCUGUUUCAGAAACCAAUUGAAAGAAAGACCCAGAGAGCAUCUCAUUGAAAUAAUCCCUCCCGACAUCUUCUAUUGUCAUGCUACUCAAAUUACAUGAACCAACAAGCCCUUCUGCCACCCAAAGGUGAACCAACUCAUCAGGUUUAUAUUUAUGACCUUUUGGGAAUAAGCUGCAAUACAAGAAGCACCUCUGCAGACGUGGAUCUAACUUCUUGUAACUCCACAAGAGAACUGUGAAGGGCUCACUUAAAUCUCUGAGCUUUAGAGCACCUUUCCAUUCAGCAGUAUCUUUUUUUGUGCUCAACCGGGAACCAAGAACUUUUGCUGCCAAAGGACAUUGUCCAAGCCUUUUAGCAAUCUCCACUGCAGUAUGUUCCAGCUUAUUGUGCAAAAGUUGAUCUCCAAUUUUUGCUCCAGAGAAAGCAUGGUGUUUGAAGAGUGCCAAGAAAUUGGCAUCAUCCAUUUUUUCCAAAUGAACAACUUGUUGUUGAUCACAGAAAACAGCGGCCGGAAGUGUUUCACGCCGAGAAGUCACCAAAACUUUGCUUCCCAUCUGUUUAGAGACAAAUGGAUCCAGGAGCUGAAACCACUCUGUCUCGCUGUCUGAUUUUUCGAACCAAACAUCAUCCAAGACAAGUAGGAAUUUCUGUGACUUCUGCAGUAUGUCACGUAAUUUGCACUGGAGAGUAUCAAGAUUAUCAAUACAUGGGCACUCCCCAUUUGUUGCAGACUCAAUAAUCUCCCUUGUGUGACGACGGACAUCAAGCUUGCGUGAGAUGCAGACCCACAUCCUGAUAUCAAAGCCUUCUUCUAUCCUCUUGUCAUUGUAGACAUACUGCACUAAGGUGGACUUCCCCAUUCCGCCCGCACCAAUAAUGGCCAAACUGGAGUACCUAGUCGAACUUGCCUCGUCAGCUGCUGUCUUGCCAAGAAGAAAAUCUAAUAUACGAUCGCGAUCCUUGUCACGACCGAAAACCUUUGAUGUGGAAAGUGAUGUCACUGUGGUUGGAGGAACAAUGGUUGCUGGUACAGCUGGCCACCCUAAACCUGUAGUAUUUCCAGGUGCUAUGCUAAGAAGAUCCCGAAGCUCCUUGGCUUCUGUUAGGAUAGCUUUGAUCUCAUUCAUCUUGCUAAUUAGCCUUCUAUUCUCAGGGAGCAAGUUGCGUGCCUUGCUCUUAGCAGUAUGAAAAGGCUUCAUGAUUGUUGAUGCAAUGGAGGAGGUUUCAUCCUCUCCUAGCAGGGGAUCUUUUCCGCUCUUGGCCUUGCGCUUGAGGAGAUUGUACUCAUGCUCGUCCAGCAGGUCCUCAGCAUCAUAAAAGGCUUCUUUGAGCCGCCGAAGCCAUGCCUCGAGCUUGCCCUUAUGGGGGCUCUUCUCUGCUGCUUGAAUCACCAGAUCAAAUUGUGGCAGGACGGUGGCUUCUAGUUUUUGGAGCUCACGCACCAUGUCCACACUGAGGUAAGCUGAAGCUUCGUUAAGAAGCUUGUUGAAAAUGGGCGAUGCUGCCCACCUUAACCCAGCGAGUGCCAAGUCUGCCAUGGAAUUGGAGUGGUUUGUGCUUCUCCUUUGUGGGUGUGGACUGGAGAGAUCUUGGAUGAAUAUUUCCAGGUGAAAAGAAGAGGACAAUUGAUUGGCAAUGGCACGAAAUGAUUGUGUUUUUCUUGGAAAUGUAAAUGAUGGGAAACAAGCAAAGAGUACAAUUAAUAUCUUUUUUCCUUCCUUUUUUGGGGUUUUCUAUUUUUUCUUUCUUUUUUUUUGUCGUAGGAGUGAAAUGAAUAAGUUGAAGAUGCAGGGUGCAAGGGUCUGGUGGCGAAGAGAAAGAUUAAACAGGAAAAGAAAGAUGAAUGGAUGGACAAUGGAAGCUGUUUUCUUUUUUAUGUAUGGACGAGGUGCUUCUGCAGAAGGCAAGUUACUGAUAAGGACAACAACGGAAUGAAGAAAACCUGGAAUUAAGAAGACGCAUAGAAUUAGUGAUUCUGAUUGGGAAAAUGGAAGACAAAUUGAUUAUUUUUCUUUCUCAUGUGCUACAGCACACAGAAUGAAAUAGCUACUAACAAGUUAGCACAACAAACUAAGGAGAUUGGUGAUCUUACAUGGUUUUGCGGGAUGAAGUUACACCAAGUAAAAAAAAUCAAGGGCGCUGGGAGCAGAGUUGCUGGAGCCAGUGUUGACAAGGAGCACGAGGUGGCCGGAGUGGUGGACGGGACUCUGGAACAAGCACUGCACUUCAAGAGAACAAACAGGCAGUCAGCCAAGAAUAAGGUAUAUACGCUGGCAGCGAAGGAGGGAAAGGAAGAAGCAAGGAACAAUACCGGAAAAGCUUGGCAGUGCUGAUUCCUGGUGAUGAUCUUUUUAUUAAGAGAUUGCUGGUGAUGAUCUGUUCUGCAGUUUCACGGUGAGGACACCGAUGGUGCUGCUGGCCUUCUGCUGCUUGCUGGGAAAAGGAAGAAGAAAGGAAAUUGGAAGGUGGAGAAAGAGGAGUAGACAAGGUCUAUCGAUUGGGACUUCUCUGAAAUAGGAGUUUGUUGGGACCUGCAUUUGGUGUGAAGUACUAGUCAGCAUAAACACAGACAAAGGAAGCUUCUGGGUAGCUUCACUAGGUUUCUAUCCUUGAGAAAGGAACGGUUCAACCAUAUCCCCCCUUGCAAUAAAUGAAUGAAGGCGAACACAGAGUAGACAAGGUCUAUGAAUUCAUCAAAAACGUCAUCAGCAGUUUUGCAACUCAAACACUACCUAAACAACUCGUUGGAAAACAUAGCCCAAACGAAAAGCAAGGCGCACAUACGGCCACCUCACCUGUAUCCAGGAAAGGGUGGAAUGUGGUCACCUCUCACAUGGAAAAUCACAUAAGAUGAUUUUUUUUUUUAUUCCAUAACCCAUAUAAGAACUGAUCAAAACACAAAAGGAUAGAAAAAUUUUGACUGACCACUGACAGUGUCUUGCACUAGUACUGCUGCUUCUUUGUGAAAGGAAUCAGCCUUGACGCCUAUGCUACUGCUCGUCGGUGCUGCUGUACUAGGGGCUGUGGUGCCUGUGUCGCCUCUCCUCCCCUUCCUCUGCCGUGUGGUCGGUUCCUCCCUUGAGCACGGCCGGCGCGCGCCGCAGCUGCCGCAGUAAAAGUAAUCUCCGAGGCGGCGAGACCUGACUCCGGCAACCCCGGCAACAUGGAGGGUUCAGCGUUCAGCCGUCUUGUGCGGCGCCGGUGCUGGAACACAACACAAGAGAAUGGCCGAACGGGGGACGGGGAAAUGCUGAACAGAACAGGAACGGAUAUUGCGGUUUUGGACUCGGUAACUAACUGUCUUCAUCGCUCGUUUGAAGCAGAGCAGCAGGAACAAUGGCUGCGCAGUCCCCUUCUUCUGCUUGAAUAAGGCUAUUCCAACAGGAGACCCAAAUGUAAAAUCUCUACUAUAAUGGAUCAAUUAGAAUUAUAUUAGAUCCCCAAGUAAAACCUUUUCCACUGAGAGCCUUCAACCAUUGUGCACCUAGUAAAAUUAAAAUGUACACAGUAAAUUAUCUCUGUUAAAAUCAAGGGCUACAAAAUAAUUGCUCAUAGACCUCAACUCAAUCUGAUGGCCAUGAUCACUUCCAGGCUUCAACGCGACUCCCAGGCUUCAACACGCUCGCGUCCCUCGACGCAUGGCCUCCACCUCCCCAAGCGCGACUCUCAGGCUUCAACACGCUCGCGUCCCUCGACGCAUGGCCUCCACCUCCCAAAGCGUGACAGGCAGGAUUCGAUCCCUGCUACCACGAAAAAAAGAAAAACUAAAAAAUAGCGUAGCAGCAUGCACGGGAGGAGGCGCACCCGCCGUUCCCGGCGGCGAGGUGGCACGGGAUCGACGGAGAAACUAGGGGCUGCGGCUGAGGGCUUGGCUCCUGCAGAGCUUCGGUGGCUGCGCAGGUCGACGACAGACCCCGGCCAGGGGCGGUAGCGGCGGCAGCGGCGGAGGCGCGGUCACGGCGACCCAGCCAGCGGCGGAGGAAGGCGAGGCAGACACAUUGGUGGGAUUGGUUGGGUGCGGUCGCGAGGUCUCGGAGGAGCUGCUGCGCAUGCUGGUGGAAAGCUAGGUAGUCUUGAGAUAGCGCACUACGCGCACGAGGUGUUCGUGCAAAUGCUUGGCACGGCCUUGUCAAAUCCUUUGCUCCCCUCCGACGUUGCUGCCAUGGACUCCACGCUAGCACCUGAAAUGGCCCCCGAUGCCUCCUAUUCCGCCGCCACCGCUGUCCCGACCGCCGAGGAUCUCGUGGGGGCGUGGCAGUGAUGACCUUGGAUGAGCAGUUCGAUCUGCUGCAGGGAUUAGGGAGAGAAGUGCAUCCAGGAGGACGAGUUCAGGCGCCUGCUUGAUAACAAGCCUGUCCCCAUCUACUACGAUGGCUUCGAGCCUUUAGAGGCAUGCACAUCGCACAGGUUUGACCUUCUGUCUUCAGCCCCUGCCUCCAGGGCAUCAUUAGUAGAAAAAAUGAUAAGUUUGCAUGAUUCAGCUAAAGAUAGAUUUGGCUGCAUCGCCAUUCUAAUUUUGUAAUAGCAUGUAGAAAGAGACCAUCAUUUAUAAUGGCACAUAAGGAAAAGACUUAAAUAAAUUGUGUGAAGGUUUUAAUAGCAUGUAGAAAGGGACCAUCAUUUAUAAUGGCACACAAGGAAAAAGCUCAAAUCAAUUGUGUGGAGGUUCAAUGAAGCUACAAAAAUAUAAAAGAACAUAGAGACCACAUGACAAGCAUUUACAGAGGGAUAUCAAAUACCAGCAACAAGAACAAGAGAACGGAAGCACAUUUUUUAAUUUAGAAACACGUGACAGCAAUUGUUUAUUUUUUUCUUUUUAAUUAAAAAAGAUAAAGGAACGAAAUAUUCCAGACUCCAGUUCGCUUCACGAAAAAUGAAAACCAUAGCCACAGUUUAUAUCAUCAUAGGUUAUUUAUUAGAGACUCAUUCUAUUAGAGGAAAUAGGAAUACAUGUAAGCAAUUAAUUAUGGGCGUUGCUAAGGUAUAACUCUUACCUAGUAAGAGGUAAGAGUUCAAAUAAAUCCGAGCCAUUGAAUAUUAGAAGAAAUAAAGUAAGUAGUAAAAAGGAAAAUAAAUAACAUAUUGUUUCCGUUUAUUUACAUGUGUACAUGCAAUUUGUUUCCUUUUAGUUGCAACCAACGACUACAACUUCAUGGAAGACCAUCGGGCAAGAGAUGGUUUAGAGUCAAAAUUCAACUUUCCAAGACAUGCUAUUUACGUUUCUUAUUAAUUGCGCAUGGUCACAUUACAACUAAAAAAAUGUUACAUCACAAUCACCUACACUAUGGAUUGAAUAAGCUUUACUUUUUUAUAAUGUCGAAAACGAAAUGAAUUUAAAUUUCUCGUUCAUUCGUCACGUUCCAACAAAUUAAUUAAAUAAAUUUUACAAAAUCAUUUUGGGUUACAUAUUAUAAAUCAUUGUGUUAUUAUAUAUACAAUAAAAUAAAAUGGUUGCACACGUGUGAACUAUGUCACCCCAUAGUGUGUCCAUGUCCAUGUUAUUAAAAACUUAAGAUCAUGUUAGGAAAGUUAGAUCAUGCAUGCAUAUUAUAUACAUAAUACGAAGGUAUUUUCCUUAUAUAUCUUAUUACCUCUUGCAAGGUAAUAUUUGACAAUUGCUACUCAGAUCGACGAUUCACAGUUAUUUAGGUGUACCAUAGCAAGACCCAUUAUUCAUAAUCAAGGAAUAACAGUACAAGUGAAAUGAUAUAAAUGGAACCACCUUCGUUCCUCGCAAGUACCAACCGUGGACUGUGGAGGGUCGCCAAACAGAGAACCAAGGGUACGGCAUCACCAACAGAUCGGCUUCUGAUCGACUUCAGCUGGGUGGUGAGUCUGCAGAGACGGGGGCGCUGCGGCAUUGGGGUCACCACGAGGUGUCUGUUUAGAACAUGAAAUGAAAUGUUUUAAAUAAAAUAUUCGAAACCUUAUUCAUUGUGCUGGAGAAUGAAUCAGUGAAACCUAUACCUUCUCUCAUUUCUUUCAAGCGGCGAUAUUAAACGAAGUGCUUCCAGCGGAUGUGUGAAAUCUGUGGCCAGCUUUCUCCAUCAGGCUCUCGGCAGUUCUUCUUCAAGUCGUCACAACCAUAUAUAGUUAUGCGCUGGAGGGAGGAUGGCAGAACUGGUAAAGAUGUUAUGUUGGGGCAAAUGCCGAUAUCAAGACUCUCCAGACUGGAGAGAAAUUUUAGAUUUCCUGGCAGGGACUCCAUUUUGCAAUCCCAAAUGUCCAGGUGCUUGACAGAUAAGAGAUUUGCACAUUCUCCAAAUGAAGCUGACGGCUCCUUGCAAUCAUGAAGAGCAAGAUUUGGUGGGACUAUAAACCCUUCAGCCUUGAGCAUCUGGUUGAGCAGUACGAAACUACUAACGCUGAGCCAUUUCUGGACACGAAACUGUGAGAUGCACUUGGCAGUGAGGUUUGGAACAUCUAUCAAACUUAGGCCAUCAAGUUGCCAGGAAGACAAGCCUUCAAGAGAGCACAGAUCGGGGAGACGAAGUAGAGAUAAUGAUUCAAGGGAGGUCAGGUGGCCAAUCGAUAAGGACGGGAAGCUUCUGCAACAUGCAAUGGAAAGAGAUUUCAGGUGUGGCAAGCCAUUAAUGAACGAAUCGGCUGCCAGAAUGCAGCCACAUAUGUAGAGGUCUCCAGCAAGGUUGAAUGACAUAGAUUCUACUGCACCUGCCAGAUCUAAAGAAGGGCAAUCAAUACAAUAAAGUCUGGAAAGAGAUGGAGCAGCAUGUGAGCCCCCCAGUGAUCUGAGACACCAACAACCUCUUACAUCCAACAAGUCAAGCUUUGUCAAAUGCUCAAACACCUCUUCUGACGGAAGUGCACUUAAUGCCAUAUUAUAUUCCAGUCUUAACGUUGUCAAUGAAGUGAGGCCACCAAGGCAAAUAGCUAAAGCUUCAUCUGUAAUACUGCAUGAAGAAAGAACAAUACUAACAAGUCCAAAUGGUAGAACCAGUGGCAGCUCCAUGGUCCUUCCAUAAAUGACUCUUAUCCUCUGCUCAUGGCAAAAAAGCCAUGCCUUGAUCAUAUUUUCUUUCUCCAAUAUUAUAUCUCCUCCUUCCUUUAGGCCACUUUCAAUAAUUUGAAGAUGUUGUGAUAUAUCAUCACCCAUCUGUGUUGUCAACUGCUUCAGUGAUGAAUAGUCCUCUAAAAGUACUCUCCUAAUAUCUGAUCCCGAAUUGACCUCCCACAUCGAUGCAAGUUUAGAUGCCAGGUCCUCCGUGUUCAUUAUAUUUUCCCUCAAAUCAUGCUGAUCGAGCUCAUUUUUGGAGACAAACAUAAGCAGUGGGCACGUCUGAAUUGACAAUUUUGUAAGCAUUGCUGGAAGACAAGGUAAUAUCUUCAAUUUUGGAACAUUUUUUAGACACAGCCUAGUGCAAUGCCGUAGGAGCUCAGUAUUAGGUGGUAGGCCUUCUAACAAAGUGCAGCCAUUAAGCUUAAAACAUUCCAAAUUUUCAAAAUAGGAUGGCUCAAGUAACCACCUUGGAUAUGUGCCAGAUUUGUAGCCUUUGAUUGUGAGGCCACUAAGUUGGGGUGACGGUCUCAGACCUUCUAGAACAUCGAGAUGUAAAGUAUCCGCUGCAUCCAUUCCCUUCUCGCUACUCCAGGCAAGCCGCAACUUUUUAAGGCGAUUCUUCUUAUAUAGCAUGGACUCUAAGGCUUCUUCCUUUUCUGAAACAUUCUCAAGAUUUUCUACUUUUAAACUGCCACCAAGCUCAUUCAAGUCCUUCAGCUGCCACAACUCGCACCCUUGCUUUUUUUGCACAGAAAAGGUAUGCAUGUGUUGUAGCGAAGUUAGCUUGCCUAUAUUGGGAAUUUGAUGAAUAGAUUUUCCAGACAAGGUAGGUACGCAAUCGAUGUAUGCCCCCAAAUGUCGUAACUUACUUAAAUUGCAAAGCUUGUCAGGUAACCUCUCCACCAUUGUGUUUAACUGAAGUAACUGUAAGUGGUAAAGAGUACAUAAUGAUCUAGGCAAUUCAGACACUGAUGUUCUGAUGAGGUUCAAAUACCGAAGGUGCUUUAGCUCACCAACAGAUUCAGGCAACUUACUACUGUUGUAAAAUGACAAAUACAAUACACGUAACUUCUUCUGGUUCCGCAGCAUCUGAUCAAAAAUAUCGCUUGCAUCAUCCAUUAGUGGAUCAAUGCAGAUGAUAGUGCGUAAAUUCUGUAGCUUGUAGAUAAUUU